rnacentral:rRNA from 1 species
GACGAACGCUGGCGGCGUGCUUAACACAUGCAAGUCGAACGGAAAGGCCCUGCUUUUGUGGGGUGCUCGAGUGGCGAAAGGGUGAGUAACACGUGAGUAACCUGCCCUUGACUUUGGGAUAACUUCAGGAAACUGGGGCUAAUACCGGAUAGGAGCUCCUGCUGCAUGGUGGGGGUUGGAAAGUUUCGGCGGUUGGGGAUGGACUCGCGGCUUAUCAGCUUGUUGGUGGGGUAGUGGCUUACCAAGGCUUUGACGGGUAGCCGGCCUGAGAGGGUGACCGGCCACAUUGGGACUGAGAUACGGCCCAGACUCCUACGGGAGGCAGCAGUGGGGAAUAUUGCACAAUGGGCGGAAGCCUGAUGCAGCAACGCCGCGUGCGGGAUGACGGCCUUCGGGUUGUAAACCGCUUUCGCCCGUGACGAAGCGUGAGUGACGGUAAUGGGUAAAGAAGCACCGGCUAACUACGUG